UUGUGAUAAGCAGCCAGCCAGCCGUGCGGAAUCCUGGGAUGUAGCUUCUAGGUGUCUCCUAAGAGUGGAUCCUUGUUUCUACCACAAAACCCUGCGAUGGCCUGUGUCGGAAAACAGUGAAGCUACAAUCUGACCCCUAUCCCUGCUAAGCCGGGGACUAUCUCAAGUUCGAGCCGGUGCAAAGCGAACCAGACCCCUUCUUGCUGCACUUCGGGACAGUCAAAUAGAUUGGAAUGCCAAGAAAAAGGGAUGAUGGUCCAUGGUUAUGGAAAGUAAUAGGCUUUCAGCCCACAGUUCCCAGAUCGAAAGAGGGCCCCCACUUUGUCAGCCUUCUACUAUGAAUCAUCGUGGAAAGAUGGACACAUUAAGUCCUUAGCCCUUCAAACCACUACACUCGCCCUGGCUUGACUCAAAUAUGACCUAAUAACCUUUGAGAUUAGGCAAACACUGGGGCCAGUAAUGUACCCCUUACCUCCCAGAAUUCCUCAUGCCUGGGACUACAGGAUGGUGAUUCUGGACGUACAGAUGCUUCAAAGACCAGGAAAUAACAAACCCUCUUUAUUAUUCCCACAUCAGAUAAUUUAAGGUCCUCCCUGGGAAAGCAACCCAGAGUCUCCUAAGAAUCAGGAUACAGAGCAACCCGCUACAGGACUCGGGAGGCUAUGGAAUAACACAAGGAUCUUCAGAGGGAAGAUCGCCACCCCUCCCCCCCCAGGGAAAAGGAUGGAAGCUUCCACCCAUUCUCUCUCCCACUUCUGAGGAUCCCCACGGCUAACAUGCAGUGCCUGCCCCCAACCAUGUGACCAGACUUAAAGCACACUGCCCUAGA